rnacentral:rRNA from 1 species
GAUGAACGCUGGCGGCGUGCUUAACACAUGCAAGUCGAACGGUGAACACGGAGCUUGCUCUGUGGGAUCAGUGGCGAACGGGUGAGUAACACGUGAGCAACCUGCCCCUGACUCUGGGAUAAGCGCUGGAAACGGCGUCUAAUACUGGAUAUGUGACGUGACCGCAUGGUCUGCGUUUGGAAAGAUUUUUCGGUUGGGGAUGGGCUCGCGGCCUAUCAGCUUGUUGGUGAGGUAAUGGCUCACCAAGGCGUCGACGGGUAGCCGGCCUGAGAGGGUGACCGGCCACAAUGCGACUGAGGCACGGCCCAGACUCGUACGGGACGCAGCGGUCGGGAAUAUUGCACAGUGGGCGCAAGCCUGAUGCAGAAACGCCGCGUGAGGGAUGACGGCCUUCGGGUUGUAAACAUCUUUUAGCAGGGAAGAAGCGAAAGUGACGGUACCUGCAGAAAAAGCGCCGGCUAACUACGUG